rnacentral:rRNA from 1 species
UACGUAGGGGGCAAGCGUUAUCCGGAUUUACUGGGUGUAAAGGGAGCGUAGGUGGCAUUGCAAGUCUGGUGUGAAAGCCCGGGGCUCAACCCCGGGAUUGCAUUGGAAACUGUGAUGCUAGAGUGCAGGAGAGGUAAGUGGAAUUCCUAGUGUAGCGGUGAAAUGCGUAGAUAUUAGGAGGAACACCAGUGGCGAAGGCGGCUUACUGGACUGUAACUGACACUGAGGCUCGAAAGCGUGGGGAGCAAACAGG